AUUGCCUCAGUAACGGCGAGUGAAGCGGCAACAGCUCAAAUUUGAAAUCUGGCGGCCUCUGGGCCGUCCGAGUUGUAAUUUGAAGAGGAUGCUUUUGGCGAGGCGCCUUCCGAGUGCCCUGGAACGGGACGCCACAGAGGGUGAGAGCCCCGUAUGGUUGGACGCCGAGCCUCUGUAAAGCUCCUUCGACGAGUCGAGUAGUUUGGGAAUGCUGCUCAAAAUGGGAGGUAAACCCCUUCUAAAGCUAAAUACUGGCCAGAGACCGAUAGCGCACAAGUAGAGUGAUCGAAAGAUGAAAAGCACUUUGAAAAGAGAGUUAAAUAGCACGUGAAAUUGUUGAAAGGGAAGCGCUUGCGACCAGACUUGUGCCCGUCGAAUCAGCCGCCGCUCGCCGGCGGCGCACUUCGGCGGGCUCAGGCCAGCAUCAGUUCGCUGCAGGGGGAGAAAGGCGGCGGGAAUGUGGCUCUUCGGAGUGUUAUAGCCCGCCGCGCAAUACCCCUCGGCGGACUGAGGACCGCGCAUCUGCAAG
rnacentral:rRNA from 1 species